rnacentral:lncRNA from 1 species
GGGAGAGAUGUGCUCAUGUACACUGCAUUAGGAUGAACUCAUCACGGGACAGCUGUUUUUUAAUUUGCUCUUCGUAACGGAAGGCAAAUCCCGAAAAAUCUCUGGGUGAUUUUUUCAAGCGCUCUCGCCGUUAUCCUCAGGGGAUACCUCUGAGCGCCGCGGGUCGGUACCAGGCAGCAUCUGACGUGGGCUGGGGGAGACGUGGCCACGCAGAAACACCCGGAGAGCCCCGCUGCAGUGCCCCACGGGCCGGGAAACCCCCUGCAUCAGUGCACCCCAGCGGCGGGACCCCCGUGCCCCACUCUGCUCCCUUGCUGUGGCCAUCCCAGCUCCCAGCCCCGGGGGCGAGGGCCGCUCAGCCAGAAGCGCUGCCUGCGAGCUAGCUCCCAGCUCCUGCUGCCUGCAGCAUGCUCGCCUGUCAGUCUAGACAAGCGUUUGCACACGCAAUCAGGAAAAGCAAACGCAUGCAGUUAUGAAGAUGAAAACUCCAACCAGAAACGUGCGCGGAAGCAUUUGGCACCGGGCAGGACUGGUAAAUCGUCCCCACGAGCCAGAUUCUGCGUAAAUCAGCACGGCUCUGCAAAGGCUCCGUCCCAGCGCACCGGCCCUUAUCGCAGAGCAGCAGCCGUGCGGCACGCGUCGGCCGUGUGCUCCCUGUGCCACCCCAACCCGACCCGGCCCCAGAGCUGGCACUUACGGGAGGGAGGAACGCGUCUGUGGGGCUCUCCCGAGCUAUGGAGGACCGGAGCUGCUAGGGCUGUUCUGAAUGGGCUCUGGCCCCUCCGCCAGCCCUCUCCGUGGCACGAGCACUGGUGGGGCCGGUGCCCAUUGCCCCGUGCCCGCUCCCCGUGGCGGUGGGCCCUGCUGUGCCCUGAUGCCACGCGGGGACACCAGCCUGGCAGCGGAGCAACCCGUGCCCAGCAGGCUCCGGAAGAGCUACAGGUGUGGGAUUUGUUUUGGCUGCUCUGCUCUGUCCUCAUCUGUUUCCAUCCAUCUCAGCAUCAGUUCAGCCGGGGCACCAGAAACUGUCUGAAAACAGAUCUUUUUUUUAAAACAAAGGAAAAUAUCCCAUUGCUCUCUGAGCAAGCACAACCCGUGAGCCCUACCUGCGGGCUGCGUGCUGCCACCCCUCUCCAGGCCCACGUGGAGCACCAGGGGAGCGGUGGCUGAGCAGGUGGCAGUGCGAGCAGCCCCCAGCUGCCACCCCGCGCUGUCAGCCCGCGCUAGUGUCAC